ACAGGAUUCCAGCUGUGGCUGGAAGAAAAAAAAGACUGGCAAGAAAUCUACCUUGAACCCAGGCUGUAACUUGUUAAGUCUGAGC